CACGAAACCCAAGGGCGCAAUAAAAGUAAAAGCAGUCUCUGCCUAGGUGGGAUCUCGUCGCUUCGCGGCGCGCGCACCACCGGCCCGUCUCGUCUGCAUCGCAGUGAGGCGGAGCGAGAACGUACACGUUGGGACCCGAAAGAUGGUGAACUAUGCCUGAGCAGGAUGAAGCCAGAGGAAACUCUGGUGGAAGUCCGUAGCGAUUCUGACGUGCAAAUCGAUCGUCAAACUUGGGUAUAGGGGCGAAAGACUAAUCGAACCAUCUAGUAGCUGGUUCCCUCCGAAGUUUCCCUCAGGAUAGCUGGCGCUCGAUUGCAGUUUUAUCCGGUAAAGCGAAUGAUUAGAGGCCUUGGGGACGAAACGACCUCAACCUAUUCUCAAACUUUAAAUGGGUAAGAAGUCCGCCUCGCUUAAUUGGAGGUGGGCGUCGAAUGCGUGUGCC
rnacentral:rRNA from 1 species